UGGGUCGGCAAGACGGUCGCGUCGCGUCGGGUCCGCCCGACGCGCCGAGGAACGUCCGGGCUCCACAGAGCAGGGCGGUGGGUAACACCCACCCGGGGCAACCCGCGAGACAGUGCAACAGAAAGCAGACCGCCGGCCCUCCUCGGAGGGCCGGUAAGGGUGAAACGGCGGUGUAAGAGACCACCAGCGGCCCGGGUGACCGGCCGGCUAGGUAAACCUCGCCCGGAGCAAGGUCAGACAGGGAACGUCGAGGCGGCUCGCCGAGUUCCCGGGUAGACCGCUAGAGCGGUGCGGCAACGUACCGCCGAGAUAGAUGGCCGUCCAUGCCGUGCUCGCACGGCAAGACAGAACCCGGCGUAGCAGCCGGCCCAUUCG
rnacentral:RNase_P_RNA from 1 species